UACGGAGGAUCCAAGCGUUAUCCGGAAUCAUUGGGUUUAAAGGGUCCGUAGGCGGUUUGGUAAGUCAGUGGUGAAAGCCCAUCGCUCAACGGUGGAACGGCCAUUGAUACUGCCAGACUUGAAUUAUUAGGAAGUAACUAGAAUAUGUAGUGUAGCGGUGAAAUGCUUAGAGAUUACAUGGAACACCAAUUGCGAAGGCAGGUUACUACUAAUGGAUUGACGCUGAUGGACGAAAGCGUGGGUAGCGAACAGG
rnacentral:rRNA from 1 species